UCAUGGCUCAGAUUGAACGCUGGCGGCAGGCCUAACACAUGCAAGUCGAACGGUAACAGGAAGCAGCUUGCUGCUUCGCUGACGAGUGGCGGACGGGUGAGUAAUGUCUGGGAAGCUGCCUGAUGGAGGGGGAUAACUACUGGAAACGGUAGCUAAUACCGCAUAAUGUCGCAAGACCAAAGAGGGGGACCUUCGGGCCUCUUGCCAUCGGAUGUGCCCAGAUGGGAUUAGCUUGUUGGUGGGGUAACGGCUCACCAAGGCGACGAUCCCUAGCUGGUCUGAGAGGAUGACCAGCCACACUGGAACUGAGACACGGUCCAGACUCCUACGGGAGGCAGCAGUGGGGAAUAUUGCACAAUGGGCGCAAGCCUGAUGCAGCCAUGCCGCGUGUAUGAAGAAGGCCUUCGGGUUGUAAAGUACUUUCAGCGGGGAGGAAGGGAGUAAAGUUAAUACCUUUGCUCAUUGACGUUACCCGCAGAAGAAGCACCGGCUAACUCCGUGCCAGCAGCCGCGGUAAUACGGAGGGUGCAAGCGUUAAUCGGAAUUACUGGGCGUAAAGCGCACGCAGGCGGUUUGUUAAGUCAGAUGUGAAAUCCCCGGGCUCAACCUGGGAACUGCAUCUGAUACUGGCAAGCUUGAGUCUCGUAGAGGGGGGUAGAAUUCCAGGUGUAGCGGUGAAAUGCGUAGAGAUCUGGAGGAAUACCGGUGGCGAAGGCGGCCCCCUGGACGAAGACUGACGCUCAGGUGCGAAAGCGUGGGGAGCAAACAGGAUUAGAUACCCUGGUAGUCCACGCCGUAAACGAUGUCGACUUGGAGGUUGUGCCCUUGAGGCGUGGCUUCCGGAGCUAACGCGUUAAGUCGACCGCCUGGGGAGUACGGCCGCAAGGUUAAAACUCAAAUGAAUUGACGGGGGCCCGCACAAGCGGUGGAGCAUGUGGUUUAAUUCGAUGCAACGCGAAGAACCUUACCUGGUCUUGACAUCCACGGAAGUUUUCAGAGAUGAGAAUGUGCCUUCGGGAACCGUGAGACAGGUGCUGCAUGGCUGUCGUCAGCUCGUGUUGUGAAAUGUUGGGUUAAGUCCCGCAACGAGCGCAACCCUUAUCCUUUGUUGCCAGCGGUCCGGCCGGGAACUCAAAGGAGACUGCCAGUGAUAAACUGGAGGAAGGUGGGGAUGACGUCAAGUCAUCAUGGCCCUUACGACCAGGGCUACACACGUGCUACAAUGGCGCAUACAAAGAGAAGCGACCUCGCGAGAGCAAGCGGACCUCAUAAAGUGCGUCGUAGUCCGGAUUGGAGUCUGCAACUCGACUCCAUGAAGUCGGAAUCGCUAGUAAUCGUGGAUCAGAAUGCCACGGUGAAUACGUUCCCGGGCCUUGUACACACCGCCCGUCACACCAUGGGAGUGGGUUGCAAAAGAAGUAGGUAGCUUAACCUUCGGGAGGGCGCUUACCACUUUGUGAUUCAUGACUGGGGUGAAGUCGUAACAAGGU
rnacentral:rRNA from 1 species